rnacentral:lncRNA from 1 species
GUCCAACCCUCCAGGUAAGACACGACCCAGAGAGCCAGCCCAGCAAGAACUAACUGGAGUGCUCUGAACGCUGCCUGCUCAGGGUGCCAGGGCAGUGAUGGGUCUGCAUUCCUGAUUUCCAGAAUUUUCUUUAAAGCAUAGGGCUAGAGUAGACCAAUCUCUCCAAUGUAGAUUCAGAUCUAUGGAUUUAUUCUAAGAACAAAUUCAACUGGAAAAGUAAGAAGUCGGCAUUCCUUCGAGCAUGAUGAGCAAGUUUCAGCCAACUGAUAAAAGACUCGGAAUGUCUGGAAGAAAGGCCCAGCUCUGUGAAGAGAGAGGCGCUUAACUUGGAAAGCCUUGGAGUUGAACAAUUUCUGUCCUCGGAGGGCUGGGCUGGCAUCAUCCACUUGGCUGGUUGGAAGCAAGUGCCGCUUGAUGUGGGCUCUGAGAAAACCCAGUUUAAAUGAACAAUCUCACUUCACAGUGAAUAUAAGACCAGAUUCUCGGGAUGUGCCGCUGCUUGGAGGGUGCCGGGUGAUGGGUGACCUGCCCGUUUGCAGACUGAAGAGCUGUGCCGCCCAGACUUGAGUGCCUCGGUGCCAACUGAGAGUCAUGACUUAACAGGAGAAUGGGAAAGCAUCUGGAAUAACCCACAGUGAGCUCAAACAGUGUCUGGUUCAGGGCUACUGAGGGCUGUCCAGACAAGCAGAGACUGGUAUCAGGAAACCAACUCUCCCCUCACCUUCUGCCAAAAAAGGAACUACAAAAAUAGAGUAUGCUUCAGUGGGCAUGGUGGAAAUGCUACGUUGAAUAGCCAUGGAAAGGUGAAUAUUAUUAUUAUUAUUUUUUUUUGGAGGAAGGUUAGCCCUCAGCUAACUACUGCCAGUCCUCCUCUUUUUGCUGAGGAAGCCUGGCUCCGAGCUAACAUCCGUGCCUAUCUUCCUCUAGUUUAUACGUGGGACGCCCCCCACAGCAUGGCUGCCAAGCAGUGCCAUGUCCGCACCCGGGAUCCGAACCAGCGAACCCCGGCCCGCCGAGAAGAGGAACG